rnacentral:rRNA from 1 species
CCCCGGUUUAGGCAGAUGUAGGCGACAGGUAGGCAAAUCCGCCUGUCAUAUACCGAGGCUGCCGAUCGAGCGAGCUUGCUCGCGAAGUGAUUGAACGAGGUUCCAGGAAAAGCCACUAAGCUUCAGCUAACAACGACCGUACCGCAAACCGACACUGGUGCGCGAGAUGAGUAUUCUAAGGCGCUUGAGAGAACUCGGGAGAAGGAACUCGGCAAAUUGACACCGUAACUUCGGAAGAAGGUGUGCCCUAGUAGUGUGAAGUGAACAACGGAGCAUGAAUGGGUUGCAAAAAAUCGGUGGCUGCGACUGUUUAUUAAAAACACAGCACUCUGCAAACACGAAAGUGGACGUAUAGGGUGUGACGCCUGCCCGGUGCUGGAAGAUUAAAUGAUGGGGUGCAAGCUCUUGAUUGAAGUCCCAGUAAACGGCGGCCGUAACAAUAACGGUCCUAAGGUAGCGAAAUUCCUUGUCGGGUAAGUUCCGACCUGCACGAAUGGCGUAACGAUGGCCACACUGUCUCCUCCCGAGACUCAGCGAAGUUGAAAUGUUUGUGAUGAUGCAAUCUCCCCGCGGAAAGACGGAAAGACCCCAUGAACCUUUACUGUAGCUUUGUAUUGGACUUUGAACAGAUCUGUGUAGGAUAGGUGGGAGGCUUUGAAGCAGGGUCGCUAGAUCUUGUGGAGCCAACGUUGAAAUACCACCCUGGUGUGUUUGAGGUUCUAACCUAGGUCCAUUAUCUGGAUCGGGGACAGUGCAUGGUAGGCAGUUUGACUGGGGCGGUCUCCUCCCAAAGUGUAACGGAGGAGUUCGAAGGUACGCUAGUUACGGUCGGACAUCGUGACGAUAGUGCAAUGGCAUAAGCGUGCUUAACUGCGAGACUGACAAGUCGAGCAGAUGCGAAAGCAGGACAUAGUGAUCCGGUGGUUCUGUAUGGAAGGGCCAUCGCUCAACGGAUAAAAGGUACUCUGGGGAUAACAGGCUGAUACCGCCCAAGAGUUCAUAUCGACGGCGGUGUUUGGCACCUCGAUGUCGGCUCAUCUCAUCCUGGGGCUGUAGCCGGUCCCAAGGGUAUGGCUGUUCGCCAUUUAAAGAGGUACGUGAGCUGGGUUUAAAACGUCGUGAGACAGUUUGGUCCCUAUCUUCCGUGGGCGCUGCAGAUUUGAGGAAGCCUGCUCCUAGUACGAGAGGACCGGAGUGGACGCACCUCUGGUGUAUCGGUUGUCACGCCAGUGGCAUUGCCGAGUAGCUAUGUGCGGAAGAGAUAACCGCUGAAAGCAUCUAAGCGGGAAACUCGUUCCAAGAUGAGAUCUGCCGGGGCCUUGAGCCCCCUAAAGAGUCGUUCAAGACCAGGACGUUGAUAGGUCAGGUGUGGAAGCGCAGUAAUGCGUUAAGCUAACUGAUACUAAUUGCUCGUGCGGCUUGACCCU